rnacentral:lncRNA from 1 species
GUUUUAAUGAUUUCAACACAUUAUUUCCCUUGCAGCCCCGCCGUCCCGUUUUGAAGAGCCUGGGACCUAGAAGCGGGCUCGUGUGGAAAUCCGCAGGCCCCUGCUCACAAGCUCGGGGGACUUCAUUCAAGCAGACGCCUCGCCUUUGUGCGUUUCCCUCUCUCUUCUGUGCAGUGGAACAGUACCUGUUGCAGGUGGAGAAGACUGCGUGAAAUCAAGCAACGCAUGGCAGAGUGCCUGCCGCUCUGUUGAGGAAGAAAGAGCCAUCUCCUUCUUCCCGCACCGAAUUCUGACAUUCAGAAGUGCGGAGGAGCGACUCUCGGGCCUGAAUACCAGACUCACGUGCCUGCGUGCUCACCUCACUCUCUCUUCCCAGGGAGAGGGGCUUUUACGUGCACCCGUGACCUCGCAGUGAGAGAGAGAGAGCACACAAGCAGGAGGAGCAGCAGGCAGAGGGAGAGGAAGAAGCAGGCUUCCCCCCAAGCAGGGAGCCUGAUGCAGGACUCCAUCCCAGGACCCCGGGAUCAUGACCUAAGACAAAGGCAGACACUUAACUGACUGAGCCACCCAGGCACCCUGGAAAAAAUUUUUUUACUGAUUAUCUAUACAACUCUAGUUCUGUUUACUGACUGUGGUGGUGACUGUGUUGCACAUUGGGCCACAAAAUGGCUCCCACACAGCUGCCUCAAUCCCUUUACGUGCUGCUUUCUCAGAUGCCCACUCUGCCUCCAGUCCCAGAAAAUUGGCAUACUUUUUCCUAUACAGACUUGUCAGUAAGUUAUCCUCAUACUUUUUUUUUUUUUUAAGAUUUUAUUUAUUUAUUUGACAGACAGAGAUCACAAGUAGGCAGAGAGGCAGGCAGAGAGAGAGGGGAAAGCAGGAUCCCUGCUGAGCAGAGAGCCUGAUGCGGGGCUAGAUCCUAGGACCCAGAGACCAUGACCUGAGCCGAAGGCAGAGGCUUAACCCACUGAGCCACCCAGGCACCCCAUUUGUCCUCAUACUUCUUGAUUCUCAACACAUAUGCUUUUCAUCCAACGUCCUUAAAGUUCCAUCCCAUAAAGUUGCAUUUGUAUUUUGGUAAUAGGAGUUUUGUUUUGUUUUGUUUUGUUUUGGCAAUUGCCUUGUCGUAGCUCAAGCAUUUGUUUACAUUAUUUCCACUGUUUAAAUUUUCUCCUCAACUUCACAGAUAUUUUGCCUCUUGCGUCCAUCCCCUCAUCUUUACUUUCUGGGGAUUCAGCAGCCCUUAAAGCAUUCAUUGUUCUCCUCAGUGAACACUGUGUUCAUUUUUGAGGAAAGGUACAAGUGAGCAAAGACACCUCCUGUAUUAGUUUUCUGAGGCCACCAUAACAAAGUACCACAAACUGGGUAGCUUAAAAUAACGUAAAUUUAUUAUCUCACGGCUCUGGAAGCUCAAAGCCUGAAAUUCAGAUAUUGGUGGGUUUGAAUCCUUCUAAGGGCUGUGAGGGGGCAUCGGUGCCAUGCCUCUCUCCUAACUUCUGGUGAUUGCUGGCAAUCUUUGGCCUCCCUUGGCUUGUUGAUCAUCAUUCUAAUUCUGUGCUUUUACAUGGUGCUCUCCCCGUCACUUCACAUAAUCUUCCCUCUGUGCCCCUCUCUCUUUGGGUCCAAAUUUCAUCCUUUUAUAAAGGUACCAGUCAUAUUGGAUUAGGGUCCACCCUAAUGACCUCUUUUUAAUGGGUUACGUCUCCAAGAACCUAUACCCAGUAAAGGCUACUUUAUGAGGUACUCAGGGUUAGGAUUUCAACAUACUUCUUUCGAGAGGCACAGUUGAAUUCAUAACACCUCACAGGCUCAUAGGGCAGGAUCCUUGAGCCUGGCUUCUGAAGUGCAGAAAAGUUACCUUCUUAGCCUCAUGGGGUGGCUCAGCAUGUUUAUAGUCUAUUCCACUGCCAAAGGACAUAGCAGUGUCAUGGCUGAAAGUCUCUCCUUGAGAAAUUGAGGGCAGAGAUAUGGUCUUCACCUGUACUUUCCGUAACAUGAACAUAAGAGAGAGCCACCAUUUGGUAAUGUAUUCAAAUAUGGACUUACUAUUUUGUAAACCUGAAACUAAUGCAAUGCUCUAAGUCAAUUCUACCUCAAUUAAAACAAGGGGGUGGAGAGCCAUCAGUAUUGUAUAAUAAAGACAGCACAGUUUAAAUUUCUUCAGCAGAGGGGCUCACUCUCCUCAGACCUCCCCUGCCUGCCUCAGCUUCUCUGAGAGGCGUUUCCAGUGCAAAAUCCUCAUUCUUGCUCCAACAGGACCAUUUUCACACUGGAGGCUAACUACCUAUCUAAUUCCAAGCCAGCCCUCCUCCUCCAUUUUAGAUUAAAAUACAGGUAUUGCAAAAAGUCCACUAAAUUAUCUACUGAACGCUCUACUUUGUUAUUUUAAAAGUUAGCUCGUAAUUUCUAAUUGUAAAAUAGAAUAUGACAUGCAGCUCCAGAGCAAAUAACUUUGGGGAAUAAGGUAUUGGAGGUGAUCAGAUUUAAGGAAGAAUUACCUUAACACACCAGGCAUCCAUUUUGAGUUUUCAGAAGUUAGCAUACACCUUGACACAGUAUGAUUUGAGCACUUCUCAUUCAUUCAAUGUCACUCAUUCAUAUCUAUAAAGAAGAGUUGUAGGCACUGAGGGGAAUAAGAAAACAAGGUGUCUCUCUUCAUGGAGUUUUAGUCGCAGGCAGGUAAUUAUGUAAAGUAUACAUGCCAGAAUUGAGAAAACCACGCUUCGUUAGAAAGCACAGGAAAAGGUAACCAAUCGAAUCUAGAAGGCAGGCAGGGCUUCCUGUACAAAGGGUCCUUUAAACUGAGAUUCAUAAGAGUUACUGGUAUGUGUAUAUAUAUAUGUAUAUAUACUGUAUAUAUGUAUAUAUACA